CAUUGUGGGAGCUACGCCGAUAUCGAGGGUGCACAGCUCCGUGCCGAAUCUCCGUAUUGGCGUAACUUUCGUUACAGCGUUCAGUCCGUUAGUAAUGUUGUAGGGUACAUUAUGUAUUAUUUUCCCCCUCCAUUGUAUCAACCGAAUGUGAGCGGUGCAGUGUAGUCUCAUGUAUUUAUUGUAGGUAGUGUGUUUGUGAGUACCGGGCUGAUGCCGCGGUUUUAUCUUUUCUGGGGGUUGUACGCUGUUCCAGGACUUAGCUAUUGGGGUUGGUCCGUGGUGAUGACUAGUAGCCCUUUCCUUUGUAUUAUUGCGACUCUCAGGAGCAGCUUGAGGGUGAACUCGAGCAUGAGCAGUGGACCUCGCCUUAGUGGACCUGGACGUAGAC
rnacentral:rRNA from 1 species